UUUGUCCUACGGGGGGCAGCAGUGGGGAAUAUUGCACAAUGGGCGAAAGCCUGAUGCAGCGACGCCGCGUGAGUGAAGAAGUAUUUCGGUAUGUAAAGCUCUAUCAGCAGGGAAGAAAAUGACGGUACCUGACUAAGAAGCCCCGGCUAACUACGUGCCAGCAGCCGCGGUAAUACGUAGGGGGCAAGCGUUAUCCGGAUUUACUGGGUGUAAAGGGAGCGUAGACGGGCCAGCAAGUCUGAUGUGAAAACCCGGGGCCCAACCCCGGGAGUGCAUUGGAAACUGCGGGCCUGGAGUG
rnacentral:rRNA from 1 species